UAGUGCAGUGGAUUUAAGCUCCACAAAUAAAGUUUCACACUUUUUUUAGGAUUAUC
rnacentral:tRNA from 1 species